AUGGCGCUCUCCAUUUCCGCACCCACCUCGUCUCCCUUCCUCCCCGCCCCCCGCCAGGUCGGCAGGUGGAGCUCGUCACCAAGCUCGCUUAAGCCCGCGGGUUUUAGCCUCCGGAGGCCGGUUGUGGUGGCACGGGCCGCCGCCGGCAACGCGCCCUCUUCCCCCGCGGGCGCGGUCGUAACUGAGCUCGACGUGGUCUCCAGCUUCAGCGAGAUCGUGCCGGACACAGUCGUGUUCGAUGAUUUUGAGAGGUUUGCACCGACGGCGGCCACCGUGAGCUCUUCACUGUUGCUUGGGAUCGCAGGGCUCCCGGAUACCAAGUUCAAGAGUGCCAUAGAUACUGCAUUGGUAGAUGGUGAAUGUAACACAAUGGAGAAGCCCGGGGACCGGAUGUCCUGUUACCUUACCAAGGCCCUGGGGAAUGUUGGAGCUGAGCUGGCUCUUCAAGUUCCUGGAAGAGUGUCCACGGAAAUAGAUGCUCGAUUGGCUUACGAUACCCAAGGAAUCGUCCAGAGGGUGCAUGAACUGUUGCAGAUAUACAAUGAACAUGAUAUCCCAUCAGAACGUCUGUUAUUCAAAAUUCCUGCUACAUGGCAAGGUAUAGAAGCGUCAAGAUUACUUGAAUCUGAAGGAACUCAAACACAUCUAACAUUCGUUUACAGUUUUGCACAAGCAGCAGCUGCAGCGCAAGCUGGUGCAUCCGUCGUACAAAUAUUUGUGGGGCGUAUUCGGGAUUGGGCAAAGAAUCACUCUGGUGACCCAGAGAUCGAUGAAGCUUUAAAGAAGGGAGAAGAUGCUGGGCUUGCCUUGGUGAAGAAAGCGUAUGUGUACAUUCACAAGAAUGGGUACAAGACAAAGUUGAUGGCCGCUGCCGUGCGCAACAAGCAAGACGUGUUUAGCCUUCUGGGGAUCGACUACAUCAUAGCGCCCCUGAAGAUACUGCAGUCCUUGGAUGAAUCUGUGACCGAUUCCGAUGAAAAGUACGGUUAUGUCCAGAGGCUGACUCUUUCGCUUGACAAGAUGUACAACUUCAGCCAAGAGGAGCUUGUGAAGUGGGACCAGCUGAGCCUGGCGGCGGCGAUGGGGCCAGCGGCGGAGGAGCUGCUUGCUUCUGGGCUGGAGGGGUACGCGAACCAGGCGCGGCGCGUGGAGGAGCUCUUCGCCAAGAUCUGGCCACCCCCCAAUGUUUGA
rnacentral:rRNA from 1 species